AAAGGAAUAGACGGGGACCCGCACAACCAGUGGAGCAUGUGGUUUAAUUCGAGACGAACCGAAGAACCUUACCUGGGUUUGACAUCUCGGUGACCGCUAUAGAGAUAUAGUUUUCUUGAUUAUUUCAAGACACCGAUGACAGGUGCUGCAUGGCUAUCGUCAGCUCGUGCCGUAGGGUGUUCCCUUCAGUGGGGUAACGAGCGCAACCCUUGUCCUGUGUUAAAUAUCCACAGGAGACUACCCACCUAGAGUGGGAGGAAGCGGGGAUGAUGUUAAGUCAGCAUGGUCCUUAUAUCCAGGGCUACACACAUGCUACAAUGGGGCCGACAGAGGGUUGCCAAGCCGUAAGGUGGAGCUAAUCCCAAAAACGGUCUCUCAGUGGGGAUUGGGGGCUGAAAUUCGCCCCCAUGAACGUGGAAUUGGUAGUAAUCGCGAAUCAGCUAAGUUGCGGUGAAUACGUUCUCGGGUCUUGUACACACCGCCCGU
rnacentral:rRNA from 1 species